ensembl:miRNA gga-mir-10585 gga-mir-10585
UGAUGAAAUCCCCCUAUGGCCUGUUUGUGAUGGUACCGCAGGAUAGGUGGGUUUCAUUGAAU